GGGUAUAUAGCUCAUGGUAGAGCAUAUGCUUAGCACAAGGUCCUGGGUUCAAUCCCCAGUACCUCUG
rnacentral:tRNA from 1 species